ACGAACGCUGGCUGCGUGCUUAACACCUGCAAGUCGAACGGUGAAGCUCCAGCUUGCUGGAGUGGAUCAGUGGCGAACGGGUGAGUAACACGUGAGCAACCUGCCCCUGACUCUGGAAUAAGCGCUGGAAACGGCGUCUAAUACUGGAUACGAGAAGGGUCCGCAUGGGCACUUUCUGGAAAGUUUUUCGGUUGGGGAUGGGCUCGCGGCCUAUCAGCUUGUUGGUGAGGUAAUGGCUCACCAAGGCGACGACGGGUAGCCGGCCUGAGAGGGCGACCGGCCACACUGGGACUGAGACACGGCCCAGACUCCUACGGGAGGCAGCAGUGGGGAAUAUUGCACAAUGGGCGAAAGCCUGAUGCAGCGACGCCGCGUGAGGGAUGACGGCCUUCGGGUUGUAAACCUCUUUCAGCAGGGAAGAAGCGAAAGUGACGGUACCUGCAGAAGAAGCACCGGCUAACUACGUG
rnacentral:rRNA from 1 species